AAGAAACAGGAAGCCUGAAGAUCAGGUAUGCUGCAAAGAUUGAGGACUGUGACUUCCAAGUGAGGCGAGGAUUUUCAGGAGAGUAAUGCAAGCAGAUGUGAGGUCAAGAACCUUCUUCAACUCAGAUUCUCAGCCUUGGGCCCUGUGGCAUGAAGGCGUCUAAGAUACCAAAGAUAUGAAGCACAGGAACCUGGGAGUGACUGAGAAGACCAAAGGCUUCUAGAAAGAGCUGGACAGAAGACUCCAGGAGGGGUUUGUCACUGUAAUAGCUUUUCUUUCAUGAAUAGGUUUUUCUUCUUGAACGAAUCUCACCUCUCCCUCAGUUUUGGCCCCUUAUCUGAACAAUGGGAGUGCUGGCUUAUAUGUCCUCACUCAGUUCAAACAGUGGAGGAGGAAAUUUAGA